rnacentral:rRNA from 1 species
GACGAACGCUGGCGGCGUGCUUAACACAUGCAAGUCGAACGGAAAGGCCCUGCUUUUGUGGGGUGCUCGAGUGGCGAACGGGUGAGUAACACGUGAGUAACCUGCCCUUGACUUUGGGAUAACUUCAGGAAACUGGGGCUAAUACCGGAUAGGAGCUCCUGCUGCAUGGUGGGGGUUGGAAAGUUUCGGCGGUUGGGGAUGGACUCGCGGCUUAUCAGCUUGUUGGUGGGAUAGUGGCUUACCAAGGCUUUGACGGGUAGCCGGCCUGAGAGGGUGACCGGCCACAUUGGGACUGAGAUACGGCCCAGACUCCUACGGGAGGCAGCAGUGGGGAAUAUUGCACAAUGGGCGGAAGCCUGAUGCAGCAACGCCGCGUGUGGGAUGACGGCCUUCGGGUUGUAAACCGCUUUCGCCUGUGACGAAGCGUGAGUGACGGUAAUGGGUAAAGAAGCACCGGCUAACUACGUG